rnacentral:lncRNA from 1 species
AGUUAGAGGCAGUUGGUCAGAGAACAGGAAGUGAAGGCUCCUCCCGGUGUGUGUGCCUCUUUGCCACGGAUGCAGACAGCAGCUGGUUUGGAACUUGGAUAGAGGAGGCCAGACCCCCCAAAUGUCUCUAUUUUCCAGGGACAUCCCUGAUUUAGAGAAGCCGUCCCAGUUUCUGAUUUGAUCCCGGAACGUCCCGCUUUUCCUUAGGAUGUCCCUAUUUUCAUUAGAUAGAUCUUGGAGGGUAUGGUAGGAUGUCCCUAUUUUCAUUGGAGAAAUGUUGGAGGGUAACUAUUUGAAGAGCAACUGUAAUCAACAAAUUACGUUAGUAGGACUACAAGAAGUUUUGUAAGGAGAAAUAUAUGAAAUAUUGCAAAAUAGCGAAAGAAGAGAGAUUUUAGUUAUGAAAUUGAAAGGUAAUAGUGAAAGUAAGAAAUGUAUAUUAAGUGAAUAGAUUGGAAAAUUUUCAGACGUGAUUGAUGGAAGUCCAAAAAAUUGAAUAAGAUGUAAAAGUAUGUUUAAUUAGUUGAAAAUGGUAUGUUAAAAACUAAUAAAAAAACUGUUGUUUUUUUUAAAGGAGAAAUGUUGGAGGGUAUGGAGUUAUCCAACCUCCGAGCCAUCUGAAGGCAAUCCUGUACAGGGAAGUUUUUUUAAACAUUUAAUGUUUUAUUAUGUUUAUAUUGUAUAUGUUGGAAGCUGCCCAGAGCGGCUGGAGCAACCCAGUAAGAUGUGUUGGGUAUAAAUAGUAAAAUUAUCAUUGUGGAAUGGGGUGUCCCUAUUUUCAUCAGAGAAAUGUUGGCGGGGAUGGGAGUCCAUUAGCUACAUAAAACUCCCCUCUCUGUCCCUCACAAACAUCUUGAUCUGCACCAGUAACAAGUGUGCCUGAAUGCCUAACUUAAUGUUACAGUAUAUUAUGCUGCUUUCCAAAUCAAAUCUUUGAUCCUGUUGGUCAGGGGAAGAACAGAGGACCAUUGGCUCCAGCUUGAGAUUGUCCCUUCCACAUGUCUUCAAUGAGAGGCCAACGUUUAUCCUCGAAGCAGGUAAGGAAAAUAGACAAUCCAUUGACAAAAUCAGUACUGUUGGUGGGGAAAACAUGGAGUGAAACGCUGGCCUCAACCCUUUGCCAUUGGUCCCUAUCCUGAAUCACCCAGCUUUCAGACACACAGACAAGUAUUAACAAGCCAUGGGAAUUUAUACUGUUUUUGACCUGCUUCCCAGAGGGAAAGCAAUUUCCAAAGAGGAAAUACAAAGUAAAUUAAAAGACUCAUUAUUUUGUGCUUCAUUUGGAAUGCAGGAGAGAGAGCCUACUACACACACUUAGCUUGUUUGAAUGCUUGUGCAACAGGCAAGCUUAUGACCUGAAGAGCGCUGCUUCCCUAAUAUAAAGCUAUCUAUUAGAUCAGGAAGCCGGGGCUGUUAGAGGCCCCCGAAUUGUAUGGGAAUCAGAAAUAGGCCACCAAAACAAAGAUCCCUAAUGGGAGGUGUUAAGUUGUGGGUGAACAUAUCAGGUGACACAGCGAUUCUUCAAACAGCUCUUGUUUAUUCACAGGCCAGAACAGAACUGAACUGAAGGGUUCAGCCAGCCUGCUUAUAUAGAGCUCCACUACAACGCAACUGUAACCACUUUCUGUAACUAUCCAAUCACUGAACGUCACUUUCAAUCCCUUAUUUGCAUAUGUGGACCUGAGUGAAAACUAUCUACAGUAUCCCCCUGCUGGCCCAGGGUGAGAACUUCAGUACAUAACAGGAGGGUAUCUGGGUCACCAUCUCCCCUUUAAACUAUCUCUGCUUGCUUACAGGAGGCCUUCUUCACUGGAUGCCAGUUGAGCCGGCAAAGAUUAAUCCCUCCCUUUCCCCUUUAUGCUGGAAGGCUGUGGAAAAUAAUCUCCAUGAUAUCCACAAUUACAAGCCAGCUUCUUUCUCCAAAUCCUCCCUCAGCCCUACUAUCUUUAGACAUAGACUUGGGCUCCACCUUGCACCACAGAGAACUAGUAGGCUUCUUACUGACCACAGCACAAUUAGCGAUAACUCAACCACAGAAGAACCAGUCUGAAAUAUACCCCUAAAAGUAUGGGGAAAUAAUAUAUGGGAUACAGCACUGUCUGAGCAUCUCAGCAGACAACAGAAGGGCAAUUAAAGGCAUAAUGAAAAGAGAGACCUUCCAAGAAACGUGGACCCCUUUCUUUAACUGUGUUAAUGACCCAAAUCAAGACCUUGUUAUAUCAACCGCUCAGUGGAGAGGUUAUGUUAAGUAAUAUGUUUGAACACUGAAUGUGUAAGAUUAUGCCUAAAGUCACAAGAGUCUUGAUUGUACAAGGAUGGAAGAAUGAGGAAACCCCGACAAAAGAACAGUGGCAAGAGAAACUGAUGAACUAUGCAGAACUGGCCAAAUUGACAUACAAUCUGCGAGAUAAGGACAACUGUGACUUUAAAGAAGAAUGGGAACUUUUUACAAAUUGCUUAAACAAAAAAACAAGAAAAUGAAUUGGACUCUUUGGCAGGUUUUGAAUAAACAUACACAAAUUUAUUGAUUGCUAACUGUUACGGAAGUUACAGGUUGUUAAAUGUUACAAAUAUUGUACCUGAAUGUACCCUUUCAACUUGACAGCUCAGGGAAGUUACCUAGCUUUAAAAAUAAUAUAAAAUCAACUCCUUUGCCAGUUUCCUCCAUUCCAAAGCUAUUUUCCCCUUGAAAAAAGACUCCAGGAAGUUCGCAGAGUUGACAAUUGCUGGGCUCGUUGUUAGCCAAGGGAAGCCAAAUCUCAUCCCUUGACUUGCCUUAGGCUCCAGACAUGCAAAAGAAGUUCUAUUGUACUUUUGGGUGGUGGGUACUUAAGACAUAUUUGUCUAUGCUAAUCUUAUACUUGUGUGUUGCCCUGACACAUCAGUCUAUGCUAAUCAUGUGUAACCCUCCCCUUUUGUGACAUGUCAGUGAUGUAGCAAUGAUGUAUCAGUGAUGCUGUACGAACUGUAUUCUGGGAUAUGGUGGGAAAGUUUUAAAAGUCCUUGUCACCCCAUCCUCUGGGUUCAAUCUCCUUUUGAACCUGUUGCGUGAUAAACUUGGAUCUUCAGCAAUUUGCUCUGGUUGGUGGCUGGACUCAUUUAUUCUGCAGGGACCCGUGGGCUCUGCCCGACAAGCUGGGUAACUGAGCAGCCUCACAUCUAGAUUUUUCCAUAACACUAACAUAGUAGAAAGAGAAUAUAAGGAUAUAGACAAUUUUACAGUAUGCAGAAAAUAAUAUGUGUUGAGAAAUCAGAGAGAGGAGCUGAGGGAAGUCUCUGGGGGAGGGCAAGAAGGGUUUGGGGGGGAAGGGGAAAAAUAAUGAAUAUGAUAUGUUUUGAUAAGUUGUUAUAUUGAAAUUGCUAAUAAAAAUACUUUUU